rnacentral:rRNA from 1 species
GAUGAACGCUGGCGGCGCGCCUAACACAUGCAAGUCGAACGAUUAAAGCACCUUCGGGUGUGUAUAAAGUGGCGAACGGCUGAGUAACACGUGGGCAACCUGCCCCUCUCAUUGGGAUAGCCACGGGAAACCGUGGAUAAUACCGAAUACUUCGGGACUUCCGCAUGGAAGACUCGAGAAAGCUCCGGCGGAGAGGGAUGGGCCCGCGGCCUGUUAGCUUGUUGGUGGGGUAAUGGCCUACCAAGGCAAUGAUGGGUAGCUGGGUUGAGAGACCGACCAGCCAGAUUGGGACUGAGACACGGCCCAGACUCCUACGGGAGGCAGCAGUGGGGAAUCUUGCACAAUGGGCGAAAGCCUGAUGCAGCGACGCCGCGUGCGGGAUGAAGGCCUUCGGGUUGUAAACCGCUUUCAGCAGGGACGAGGCGAAAGUGACGGUACCUGCAGAAGAAGCCCCGGCUAACCACGUG